rnacentral:rRNA from 1 species
AUUGAACGCUGGCGGCAGGCCUAACACAUGCAAGUCGAACGAGUGGCGGACGGGUGAGUAAUGUCUGUGAAACUGCCUGAUGGAGGGGGAUAACUACUGGCAACGGUAGCUAAUACCGCAUACCAUCAGAUGUGCCCAGAUGGGAUUAGCUAGUUGGUGGGGUAACGGCUCACCAAGGCGACGCUCCCUAGCUGGUCUGAGAGGAUGACCAGCAACACUGGAACUGAGAAACGGGCCAGACGCCUACGGGAGGAAGCAGUGGGGAAUAUUGCACAAUGGGCGAAAGCCUGAUGCAGCCAUGCCGCGUGUAUGAAGAAGGCCGUCGGGUGGUAAAGUACUUUCAGCGGGGAGGCGUUACACGCAGAAGAAGCACCGGCUAACUCCGUGCCAGCAGCCGCGGUAAUUC